ensembl:lncRNA
UGGAGGACAUUCUAGUUGUACUUGUAGGAGCAGCUGUAGUACUUGAAGGCAUUGUGGUUGGAGUCGGAGCAGCUGUUGUGGAGGUCAUUCUAGUUGUACUUGUAGGAGGAGCUGUAGUACUUGUAGACAUUGCAGUUGAAGUUGGAGCUGUUGUGGAAGCCUUUCUACUUGUACUUGUAGGAGGAGCUGUAGUACUUGUAGACGUUGUAGUUGAAGUUGGUGCAAUUGCUGUGGAGGUCAUUCUAGUUGUACUUGUAGGAGGAGAUGUAGUACUUGCAGGCAUCGUGGUUAAAGUCGGAGCAGCUGUUGUGGAGGUCAUUCUAGUUGUACUUGUAGGAGGAGCUGUAGGUCUUGCAGAAGUUGUAGUUGAAGUUGGAGCCGUUCUGGAAGUUAUUUUAGUUGUACUUGUAAGAGGAGUUGUAGUGCUUGCAGAAGUUGUAGUUGAAGUUGGAGCUGUUGUGGAGGUCAUUCUCGUUGUACUUGUAGGAGGAGCUGUAGUACUUGUAGACAUUGCAGUUGAAGUUGGAGCUGUUGUGGAGGCCUUUCUACUUGUACUUGUAGGAGGUACUGUAGUACUUGUAGACGUUGUACUUGAAGUUGGAGCUGUUGUGGAGGUUAUUUUAGCUGUACUUGUAAGAGGAGUUGUAGUACUUGCAGAAGUUGUAAUUGAAGUUGGAGCUGUUGUGGAGGUCAAUCUAGUUGUAGUUGUAGGAGGAGCUGUAGUACUUGUAGACCUUGUAGUUGAAGUUGGAGCUGUUGUGGAGGUCAAUCUAGUUGUACUUUUAGGAGGAGCUGUAGUACUUGUUGACAUUGUAGUUGAAGUUGGAGUUGUUGUGGAGGUCAUUCUAGUUGUACUUGUAGCAGCAGUUGUAGUACUUGUAGACAUUGUAGUUGAAGGAGUUGUUGUGGAGGUCAUUCUAGUUGUACUUGUAGGAGGAGCUGUAGUACUUGUAGACGUUGUAGUUGAAGUUGGAGCAGCUGUUGUGUAGGACAUUCUAAUUGUACUUGUAGACGGGGCUGUAGUACUUGCAGAAGUUGUAGUUGAAGUUGGAGCUGUUGUGGAGGUCAAUCUAGUUGUAGUUGUAGGAGGAGCUGUAGUACUUGAAGACAUUGCAGUUGAAGUUGCAGCUGUUGCGGAUGUCAUCUUUGUAGUACUUGUAGGAGCAGUUGUAGUACUUGUAGACGUUGUAGUUGAAGUUGGAGCUGUUGUGGAGGUCAUUCUAGUUGUACUUGUAGGGGCAGUUGUAGUACUUGUAGACGUUGUACUUGAAGUUGGAGCAAUUGCUGUGGAGGUCAUUCUAGUUGUACUUGUAGGAGAAGCUGUAGUACUUGUAGAUAUUGUAGUUGAAGUUGGAGCAGCUGUUGUGGAGGUAAUUCUAGUUGUACUUGUAGGAGCAGCUGUAGUACUUGUCGUAAUUGUAGUUGAAAUUGGAGCAGCUGUUGUGGAGGUCACUCUAGUUGUACUUCCAGGAGGAGUUGGAGUACUUGUAGACAUUGUAGUUGAAGGUGGACCUGUUGUUGUGGAGGUCAUUCUAGUUGUACUUGUAGGAGGAGCUGUAGUACUGGUAGACAUUUUUGUUGAAGUUGGAGCUGUUUUUGUGGAUAAAAUUCUAGUUGUACUAGUUGGAGGUCCUGAAGUACUUGUAGAUGUUAUAGUUGAAGUUGGAGUAGGUGUUGUGGAGGUCAUUUUAAUUGUACUUCUAGUAGGAACUGUAGUACUGGUAGACAUUUUUGUUGAAGUUAUAGCAGCUGUUGUGGAUGUCAUUCUAGUUGUACUUGUAGGAGGAGCUGUAGUACUUGUCGGCAUUUUAGUUGAAGUUGGAGCAGCUGUUGUGGAGGUCAUUUUAAUUGUUGUAGUUGAGGUUGUUGGAGGUGUUGUUGAGAUUGUUGGAGGUGGAGAAGGUGGAGAUGUUCGUGGGGUUGAGCUUGUUGGAAAUGGAGAAGGUGUAGAUGUUGGUGUAGUUGAGGGUGUUGGAGAUGGAGAAGGUGUAGAUGUUGGUGUAGUUGAGGGUGUU